rnacentral:sRNA from 3 species
AUAUCUCUCUGUACGGGAAGGAUGAGAAGCUUCUACCAGGGUUCGAUUCGAGCGCAGCGAGAAAGCGUUGCCGCAGGCAACGAC